AUGGCGACCGGCGCACGGGUGAGUAACACGUAUCCAACCUGCCGAUAACUCGGGGAUAGCCUUUCGAAAGAAAGAUUAAUACCCGAUGGUAUAAUCAGACCGCAUGGUUUGAUUAUUAAAGAAUUUCGGUUAUCGAUGGGGAUGCGUUCCAUUAGGCAGCUGGUGAGGUAACGGCUCACCAAACCUUCGAUGGAUAGGGGUUCUGAGAGGAAGGUCCCCCACAUUGGAACUGAGACACGGUCCAA
rnacentral:rRNA from 1 species